rnacentral:misc_RNA from 1 species
GUGUCUACUCAUAACAUUGUGGCUACACGAGCAGUAUUCAAAAGAAUAGGUCUUCAGAAAAAAGUAAUGCAAUAUCUACAAGAAUACAACCAAAGCAAUUACAUAACAAGCUUUUACUCCAUGAAGAAGAAACUAAACCUCCCACUGAUUAUUCUUUCUUUACAAGACGGACCACACUGUCCGUUUUCCACCAUCCUUCGAAAGAAUUAAAGCAGAAAAUGGAUGGAUGUGGCUUGACAUUUCAAUUAUAGCAAAAGAAGGAACUUGAAUUAAAAUCCACUAGUUGCUUUACACUGAAUCAACAGCCUCAACCUGCUGCCGAGCGAGAUACUUCUCCCUUCGUUCCUUCCAUUCAUCUAUUACUAGACCUUCUCCUACAACUUUAGGUCCAGUUUCAACUGGAGGUUUCUUGCGAGAUUCUAAUGCUGCCUCAGCUUCAGCCAACUGACGCUUUAGUUUAUCCAGCACUGGAGAAGGUCGUUCUGGGUCCAAGAACACCACCCGUAGGAUACGUUCAAUAGUCACGUGAUCCUUUUGUUCUUCAAACAACUCAGGUACGUAAUCUACACCUUCUUUCACCUUCAAGCUUAUGAUCUUGAACUUAACUUUGCUCUUUUGGUCCACAGGCUUUUCGUUGUUCUCAGGGUGCUCCACAAACUUGAAGACAGUGGCAAUAACACUUUCACCGGGUUCGAGAAUGCCUCCGGGAGGUCGCAUGUAGCAGCUCUUUGGUGCAGUCGUUUGAAACUUAAAUGCAACAUAAGAUUUGCUAGUGUUCUUAAUCUUUACAGCACUCUUCACCUGCUUUCCCGGUUCAUAAGGGAAGUAGAGACUGUUAGCUGGAUCGAGCCGAAGCCUACGUCUAGCCGGAAGCAGUGAUCUAGCAACGGAGCUAACAGACGUAGAAGCACGAGAGCUGUUAGAUCCGACGCCGUUUUGGUGACUGUGAUUCUGAGAGUGAAGAUUUUGUGUAGACGACGAAGAAGAAGACGUAGUUCCUGAUUGCCAUAGAGGACAAAGCUUCCAGAGCUUUCCGUCUGAGUUAUGUGACUUGUGGUGGUCGGCGAUUGCCAUAGGACGGAGUUUUGGCCGGAAUCUAGUCGAGUUUUCCGACGACAAGUUGCAAUUUUCCGGUGAUAAAAAUUAGGGCAGCUUGUAAUUGUCCCUUAGUGAGGAAAC